rnacentral:rRNA from 1 species
UACGAAGGGGGCUAGCGUUGCUCGGAAUUACUGGGCGUAAAGGGGGCGUAGGCGGGUCGUCAAGUUGGGGGUGAAAGCCCAGGGCUCAACCUUGGAACUGCCUUCAAAACUGACGAUCUAGAGUAUGGAAGAGGUAAGUGGAACUCCGAGUGUAGAGGUGAAAUUCGUAGAUAUUCGGAAGAACACCAGUGGCGAAGGCGACUUACUGGUCCAUGACUGACGCUGAGGCUCGAAAGCGUGGGGAGCAAACAGG